UACGUAGGGUGCAAGCGUUGUCCGGAAUUAUUGGGCGUAAAGAGCUCGUAGGCGGUUUGUCGCGUCUGCUGUGAAAACUCGGGGCUUAACUCGGGGCCUGCAGUGGGUACGGGCAGACUAGAGUGCGGUAGGGGAGACUGGAAUUCCUGGUGUAGCGGUGAAAUGCGCAGAUAUCAGGAGGAACACCGGUGGCGAAGGCGGGUCUCUGGGCCGUAACUGACGCUGAGGAGCGAAAGCGUGGGGAGCGAACAGG
rnacentral:rRNA from 1 species